rnacentral:rRNA from 1 species
AUUGAACGCUGGCGGCAGGCCUAACACAUGCAAGUCGAGCGAGCGGCGGACGGGUGAGUAAUGUCUGGGAAACUGCCUGAUGGAGGGGGAUAACUACUGGAAACGGUAGCUAAUACCGCAUACCAUCAGAUGUGCCCAGAUGGGAUUAGCUAGUAGGUGGGGUAACGGCUCACCUAGGCGACGAUCCCUAGCUGGUCUGAGAGGAUGACCAGCCACACUGGAACUGAGGCACGGUCCAGACUGCUACGGUAGGCAGCAGUGGGGAAUAUUGCACAAUGGGCGGAAGCGUGAUGCAGCGACGCCGCGUGGGGGAUGAAGGCCUUCGGGUUGUAAACUCCUUUCGACAGGGACGCGGUACCUGUAUAAGAAGCACCGGCUAACUACGUGCCAGCCGCCGCGGUAAUUC